GCGGAGUACACAGAAGUUAAAUGUGGAGUCGUGUUUUGGUCUGAAAAGAUCAUUUUUGCCCUCAAGAUGGUGUCAUUAAAUUUUUGACAAACUUUAAACGGAGAAUUGUUUCUUCAGGUUGUUCAAGUGACUAGAGUCAGAGUGGAUGAAGUUUCAGCCUACAGGCGCCGGGCGGGGGCCACCGAGUGGACCGCUAAGAUGCAACACCGAUUUCCUGAGAGCCGUCGUGGAUUCCGGGGUCAUCGCUUCUGCCUGAUGCUGUCCGAGUGUACAGAGACGGUUCUGCCCGCUGGGAGCCUGGCUGCCCCCCCACCACCCCCACCACCCCCACCACUCCCAGUCUUGGAACAUGGUGAUUUCACACCCCUGUUGUGUAAAGCUUGUUUUUCAGUGUGUGUGUGUGUGUGUGACAAACACAUGGUUUUCUGCUGGGAGAGGUCACAGAAGACACACAAAAGAGAAGUGUCCUUGUUUGUAAUUCUGAAAAUAUCCCACUAUCCCUACGUGACUCCUCAAACACAAAGCCAGUAACGACUUAUAACUGAUUGCAAACGAACCGGGGGGGAAAAAAGGACAUCACGACAUAGUAUUUUCAAGUAACUAAUUUUUCACGCUGUUGUUUAUUCUCAGGAUUGUGUUUUCUGCGGAAAAACUGAAAAAAAAAGCCUUCUGUCACUUAUACGGCACUAUAUUUUUGUCGACUGCAGAUUGUUUCGCCAUUUCACAAAAAAACUGAUAAAUACAUGAUUCAUCUCCCAGAAUGAGAGGUAUUCAGUGGUACGCUGCGUUUAUCUGAACACAUCCCACUGUCAUGACAGUUUCACAUGUCUUUAAUUGGAAAGAAUAACCAAAUUACAAGCGUAUUAGUUAAAAAAGAUUUGAAAAUUGUGCCAGCUUGGUUUGUCACAGAAAUCAUUUCAGAGCCCAGACACACAUUAAGAAAAAAAAAAAAGAAAAGAGAAAGAAAUCCCUCUCGUCUCAACAACUGGAAUUUCAAGAGGGAAGCGUCAUUAUCGAGCUGACCACGUUUUUUUCUGUGGAAAAAUGUGAAAAUGAAU